GUUUGUUUCAUGUUCUUUCUUUCCUUUUCCUUCAAUGACAUCACUUGAAUUUUUUCCCCCUCAUUUUAAGUCACGAGUAUUUGGAGAAUAGCUUGAGUGGUUUAGUAGUUGAGUAGGUAGAAUAAAGUUUCUUUGAGCAGUUGCAAUGCCCUAGUCCAUGUUCCAGAAGGUGUGGCUAUGAUCUUGGAAAAAUCAAAUAUGGACUGGUUGAAUAUAAAUUAGUCACUGUUACAAAAGUAGAUCAGUGAGAGCUUUAAAAUUCAAAAUUGCAUAAAAAAGCACAUAUAUUUGGUUCCUUUUAUGUUUUGCAUGAUAUAAAACUUUUGGAGCGUAUUUUGAGAUGACUAACAUUCCAAG
rnacentral:lncRNA from 1 species